rnacentral:rRNA from 1 species
CUACGGAGGGUGCAAGCGUUGUUCGGAAUCACUGGGCGUAAAGGGCGCGCAGGCGGUUUGGUAAGUCAGAUGUGAAAGCCCACGGCUCAACCGUGGAAGUGCAUUUGAAACUGUCAGACUUGAGUACUAGAGGGGAAAGUGGAAUUCCCGGUGUAGAGGUGAAAUUCGUAGAUAUCGGGAGGAAUACCGGUGGCGAAGGCGACUUUCUGGCUAGAUACUGACGCUGAGGCGCGAAAGCGUGGGGAGCAAACAGGAUUAGAAACCCUAGUAGUCC